CAGAAAGACCCUAUGAAGCUUUACUGUAACCUGAAAUUGAAAUCGGACUUUAUUCGCGCAGUAUAGGUGGGAGGUGUUGAAAAUAUUCUUGCGGGAGUAUUGGAGCCAUCAGUGAGAUACCACUCUUGUAAUGUUAGGUUUCUAACUUUGAACCAUUAUCUGGUCAAAGAACAGUUUCAGGCGGGCAGUUUGACUGGGGCGGUCGCCUCCCAAAUGGUAACGGAGGCGUACAAAGGUUUCCUCUGAACGUGUAGAAAUCGUAUCUAGAGUGUAAAGGCAUAAGGAAGCUUGACUGUGAGACCUACAAGUCGAGCAGGGACGAAAGUCGGUCUUAGUGAUCUGACGGUACUGAGUGGAAAGGCCGUCACUCAACGGAUAAAAGUUACUCUAGGGAUAACAGGCUGA
rnacentral:rRNA from 1 species